rnacentral:rRNA from 1 species
GUAUCCGAGAGGUGAUGAGGUCCGAGCUUGCUCGGGACACUCGGUAAUCCCAGACUUCCAAGAAAAGCCGCGUACAGAGCCACUUUGGUGUCCGUACCGCAAACCGACUCAGGUGGGCGGGGUGAGUAUCCCAAGGCGCGUGAGAGAACCCUGGUUAAGGAACUCUGCAGAAUGACACCGUAACUUCGGGAGAAGGUGUGCCGCUUUGCGUGAAGGUCUUCGCGACCGGAGCGUGGGGUGGUUGCAGAGAAACGGGGGUUGUGACUGUUUACUAAAAACACAGGACUCUGCGAAGUCGCAAGACGACGUAUAGGGUCUGAUGCCUGCCCGGUGCUGGAAGGUUAAGGGGACGUGUCAGCGCAAGCGAAGCUCCGAACCGAAGCCCCAGUAAACGGCGGCCGUAACUAUAACGGUCCUAAGGUAGCGAAAUUCCUUGUCGGGUAAGUUCCGACCUGCACGAGGGCAUAACAACAUCCCCGCUGUCUCGACCAGGGACUCAGCGAAAUUGUAUCGGGGGUGAAGAUACCCUCUACCCGCGGCAAGACGGAAAGACCCCAUGAACCCUUACUGCAGCUUGGCAGUGAUUUUCGGGAUAUUCUGCGUAGGAUAGGUGGGAGGCGUUGAGGCCGGGCUUCUGGGUUCGGCGGAGCCAACGUUGAAAUACCACCCUGGGUGUUCUGGAAAUCUAACCUAGCCCCGUAAUCCGGGGCAGGGACACUGCCUGGUGGGCAGUUUGACUGGGGCGGUCGCCUCCAAAAAAGUAACGGAGGCGUGCGAAGGUUCCCUCAGCCUGAUUGGAAACCAGGCGUAGAGUGCAAACGCACAAGGGAGCUUAACUGUGAGACCGACAGGUCGAACAGGUGCGAAAGCAGGCGUUAGUGAUCCGGUGGUUCUGUAUGGAAGGGCCAUCGCUCAUCGGAUAAAAGGUACUCUGGGGAUAACAGGCUGAUCGCGCCUGAGAGUUCACAUCGGCGGCGCGGUUUGGCACCUCGAUGUCGGCCCAUCGCAUCCUGGGGCUGGAGCAGGUCCCAAGGGUUCGGCUGUUCGCCGAUUAAAGCGGUACGCGAGCUGGGUUUAAAACGUCGUGAGACAGUUUGGUCCCUAUCUGCCGUGGGCGUAGGACACUUGAGAGGAGCUGCCCAUAGUACGAGAGGACCUGGGUGGACGUACCUCUGGUGUUCCGGUUGUUCUGCCAAGGGCAUAGCCGGGUAGCCAUGUACGGAACGGAUAACCGCUGAAAGCAUCUAAGCGGGAAGCCGGCCUCGAGACUAGGUGUCCCGAGCCGCAAGGCUCCUAAAGACCCCUCGUAGACCACGAGGUUGAUAGGCCGGGUGUGGAAGCGGAGCAAUUCGCGGAGCUAACCGGUACUAAUCGGUC